AACGCUGGCGGCAGGCCUAACACAUGCAAGUCGAGCGGAUGAAGGGAGCUUGCUCCUGGAUUCAGCGGCGGACGGGUGAGUAAUGCCUAGGAAUCUGCCUGGUAGUGGGGGAUAACGUCCGGAAACGGGCGCUAAUACCGCAUACGUCCUGAGGGAGAAAGUGGGGGAUCUUCGGACCUCACGCUAUCAGAUGAGCCUAGGUCGGAUUAGCUAGUUGGUGGAGUAAAGGCCUACCAAGGCGACGAUCCGUAACUGGCAUGAGAGGAUGAUCAGUCACACGGGAGUUGAGGCGCGGUCCGGAGGCCUACGGGAGGCACCAGUAGGGAAUGUUGGACAAUGUGCGAAAGCUUUACGCAGCAGCGCGGCGUGAGUGAUGACGGUAUUCGGAUUGUAUAACUUUUUUACUAGGGAAGAACAUAUGUGUAAGUAUCUGUUCACGUCUUGACGGUACCUAAUCAGAAAGCAACGGCUAACUACGUG
rnacentral:rRNA from 1 species